GGUGGCUCAGUGGUAAGAGUGCUUGCUUUGCAAGCAUGAGGCCCUGGGUUCAAUUCCUCAGCACCA
rnacentral:tRNA from 1 species